UACGUAGGGGGCAAGCGUUGUCCGGAUUUAUUGGGCGUAAAGAGCGUGUAGGCGGCCAUGUAGGUCCGUUGUGAAAACUCGAGGCUCAACCUCGAGACGCCGAUGGAAACCAUGUGGCUAGAGGCCGGAAGAGGAGAGUGGAAUUCCUGGUGUAGCGGUGAAAUGCGCAGAUAUCAGGAAGAACACCCGUGGCGAAGGCGGCUCUCUGGGACGGUACUGACGCUGAGGAGCGAAAGCGUGGGGAGCGAACAGG
rnacentral:rRNA from 1 species